GGAUGAACGCUAGCGGGAGGCUUAACACAUGCAAGUCGAGGGGCAGCAUAGGGUAGCAAUACUCUGAUGGCGACCGGCAAACGGGUGAGUAAUGCGUAUGUAACCUACCCUGUACAGGGGGAUAACCCGGAGAAAUUCGGACUAAUAUCCCAUAACAAUAUCCGGGGGCAUCUUUGGAUAUUUAAAGUUCCGGCGGUACGGGAUGGGCAUGCGUAACAUUAGCUAGUUGGUAAGGUAACGGCUUACCAAGGCUUUGAUGUUUAGGGGUCCUGAGAGGGUGGUCCCCCACACUGGUACUGAGACACGGACCAGACUCCUACGGGAGGCAGCAGUGAGGAAUAUUGGUCAAUGGGCGCAAGCCUGAACCAGCCAUCCCGCGUGCAGGAAGACGGCGCUAUGCGUUGUAAACUGCUUUUCCAGGGAGAGAAACUUGCGCACGUGUUGCGCAAUUGACGGUACCCUGGGAAUAAGCAUCGGCUAACUCCGUGCCAGCAGCCGCGGUAAUACGGAGGAUGCGAGCGUUAUCCGGAUUCAUUGGGUUUAAAGGGUGCGUAGGCGGACUAUUAAGUCAGUGGUGAAAUCCUGCAGCUUAACUGCAGAACUGCCAUUGAUACUGAUAGCCUUGAGUUUGGUUAAGGUAGGCGGAAUGUGUAAUGUAGCGGUGAAAUGCUUAGAUAUUACACAGAACACCAAUUGCGUAGGCAGCUUACUGAGCCGACACUGACGCUGAGGCACGAAAGCGUGGGGAUCGAACAGGAUUAGAUACCCUGGUAGUCCACGCCGUAAACGAUGAUUACUCGCUGUUGGCGAUACACUGUCAGCGGCUAGGCAAAAGCAAUAAGUAAUCCACCUGGGGAGUACGGCCGCAAGGUUGAAACUCAAAGGAAUUGACGGGGGCCCGCACAAGCGGAGGAACAUGUGGUUUAAUUCGAAGCAACGCGAAGAACCUUACCAGGGCUUGACAUCCCUCUGACCGGCCGGUAAUGCGGCCCUCCCUUCGGGGCAGAGGUGACAGGUGGUGCAUGGUUGUCGUCAGCUCGUGUCGUGAGAUGUUGGGUUAAGUCCCGCAACGAGCGCAACCCUUGUCAUUAGUUGCCAUCAUUAAGUUGGGCACUCUAGUGAGACUGCCGGGGACAACUCGGAGGAAGGUGGGGAUGACGUCAAAUCAUCAUGCCCCUUAUGUUCUGGGCUACACACGUGCUACAAUGGCCGGUACAGAGAGACGCAAUGUCGCGAGGCGGAGCAAAACUCUAAAACCGGUCUCAGUUCGGAUUGCAGGCUGCAACUCGCCUGCAUGAAGUCGGAGUUGCUAGUAAUCGCGAAUCAGAACGUCGCGGUGAAUGCGUUCCCGGGUCU
rnacentral:rRNA from 1 species